CAGAACUUUUAGUGGACGAAAUUGAAGAUGCGCAUUUGCCCAUUUAUGUUACAUUGUAGUUUGUUUCAGCUGCAGUCUUGCUUAAUACUGGAC